UACGGAGGGGGCUAGCGUUGUUCGGAAUUACUGGGCGUAAAGGGCGCGUAGGCGGAUAUCUAAGUUGGGGGUGAAAUCCCGGGGCUCAACCUCGGAAUUGCCUUCAAAACUGGAUAUCUUGAGUUCGGGAGAGGUGAGUGGAACUCCGAGUGUAGAGGUGAAAUUCGUAGAUAUUCGGAAGAACACCAGUGGCGAAGGCGACUCACUGGCCCGAUACUGACGCUGAGGCGCGAAAGCGUGGGGAGCAAACAGG
rnacentral:rRNA from 1 species